rnacentral:lncRNA from 1 species
ACACAAAAUUGCACUAAAGUCACCGACAAAGUCGUUAAAACUCAAUCUGCCAUGUAGAGGUAAGGUAACAGAUUCUCUAACAGUUUGAUUAAUUUUCCCCCUCAAAUUGGUUGAUAAGAAAUUUUGUUUCAAAGUAAAGUGAUGCAUUUGUUUCUAAUUGUAAAGGCUUGUAAAUGUCUACUUUGUUGAAUGAAUGAUGGUUUCUAAGUGACUAAGAUCAAUGCUUUGAUAAUUCAUAUUGGAUUAUAAAUUAUUGAUUCUCAAUUCAAUUCAAGACAGUGAUGGAGAUACAUAGCUUCUCGUUAAUAUUAUCUUAUAGUAGUUUUAAAGUUACAGAAAUCCCUUUUUAGAUUCAAUUUCUUUCAUGAUAUUUUGACAUGCUUAAGAUAAUGUGCAUAUGCAACCCUAUUUUUUAUGCUGAUAUAUUGUACAGAAAAGAUCACAUUUUCUAAAAAGAUUAAGCCACUGUUGAUGAGCUUAAGAUAAUGUGAAUCUGCUCAACCUGAAAUCGAUGAUUUGAUAAUGCAGAAUAAUGUAGUACGAACUGUUUUACUACAUCAAAUUUUUAGAUAUAACAAAUCUGUCAAUAUCUGUUGCAUUUUCUGUUAAAGCCAUCUUAUUUGGUGAACUUCUCAUCAUACAUGUAGAAUCCUAAUUGUCCCGUUGAUUUUCAGACCAAUCAAUAAUGUUAUAAUUUAGACUUUCUUACAAAACAUGUAAUGUAAGCUCUUAAACUCAAUUUUCUAGUGGACGAGAAGAAGCAGUCAUAUUCAUGGGAAUUGGAGGGGUGUUCGAUCAAACUUCUAACUUCCGAAGGGGAGGUGGCUUUCUGAUCAAAGUUGCUUGCUCAAAUGAAUAAGCAAUUUCAAUCAACUUUGGAUCUGAGCCUUUCAAACCUCCAAAGCAAAUUCCAAAUGGCUGAUCCUUUUCAUAUCCUGCUGGAACAAUCACUCCAGGAUAACCUCCAAUGGCAAGUAUGUUACUAAAGGAUGCCAAAGGUAUUACCACAGCAUCAAGUUUAUUUCUUUUCAUCAGUUUUUCAAACCCAUUCUGUGACGAUCUUGUCAUAUUUAAUAAUGCUUGUUUCUCUGCUUUCCCAAUUCCGUUUGUCUUUUCAGCUUGCACCAUGAGAUCUUGGCCAUACUCAAGUUUCUCCUACAAUGUUUAUACAACAAUUAAGAUGCUAUCGUGAUCAAUGUUCAUAGCUGGACUUUAUGUAACAAAUAGGCAUGGCACAAAUAGUAACAAUCAAAUGUUAUCAGUUGAUUCUUACAGUCGUGAAGCAAACUGGUCGUAAAAAAUAACAUAGUUCUAAUAUUCUAUAUACAUACUCACCGAUUUUGGGUGUUUCUUGUUGAAGGCUAUCACAUCUGCCAAGCUUUUCACUGGUGAAGCAACUAAUUCUUUCAGGUACUUAUUCAAGGAUAAUUUGAAUUCAAAAUUCAAGGCAAUUUGUUCACUUUGAUCAGUGAAAAUUUCAACAAUGUUAUCAAUCUUCAAAUUGUCAAUCAAAACUGCACCUCUUCGCCUGAUUUUGAAGAAAGUAUACACACACAGACACAUAUGUGACUUAUUAAAGCUUCACUAGAAAUAUUAGUACUUGAAAAAUAAUAGUUUUAGACUUACCUUAACGUGUUUAGGUGUAGCUUAAAAGUUUUAUCCAGUAAGGUGUCAUUUCCAAACUCGUAGUAUAAUCUUACCACUCCCAAUCUCUUUCCUCUCAAUCCAUCUUUCUUUAGAAAUUGAGCAUAGCCACCUUUUGGGAUAUACUUUGAUGCUUCAAUUGUUGCCUUAUCAAAAGGGUCAAUACCUGCUAUGGUUUCAAGAACAUAAGCAGCAUCUGAUACAGUCCUGCAAAUUGGCCUAUACAAAACCACACAAUCAAUGUUUAAACAUUUAAUAGCAAAAUGUCUUUGGAGAGGAAAAUUGAGUUUGAAAAUGCAAGAGCAUGUUGACAUAAAGAAAACAUAGGUAUUGCCAAUUUGCCACAUAUAUUUAGGCUUACCCAACUGUGUCUUGCCUUGGGCUAAUUGGAACUACACCUGCUCUACUAGUGAGACCUACUGUUGGUUUGAUGCCUACUACUGAGUUCAUACAUGAAGGGCAUAAAAUGGAGCCAUCAGUUUCAGUACCAAGUGACACAGCCACCAAAUUUGCUGCUACUGAUAUUGCUGGCCCACUACUUGAGCCACAAGGAUCAUCCAACGUGUAUGGAUUCUGCACAAAACAAUGCACAAGUGUGAACUCAUUUUCUAGAAUCAUUCAUACUUAAGUUCCUAUGAGAAGGCAUAAUGAAGUUAUUACUUUAGGCCUCCAAAAAUAUUCACUCACUUUUUUUAGUUGGAAGCCACGUAAGGUAGUGUUUGGCCCGGCUUAUUUCUGACUUUUCUACACAAUAAAAGGAGAAGUUGGGCCAAACACAUUUCUUGAGAAGCACUUAAUAUAUAAAGUUGCUUAUUUUUAUAGUGUAAAAUACACAAAUAAAGUAGUUUUGCUAAAGUUGUUGAAACUAACUUCUAAAAGUUCUCGGCAACUUUUUUCUAUGUAUUCCCCUUCGAAUCCUAUUGAGCACGUUUUAUUUUUCAUUUUAAUUGAUUUUUCAGACGGCAUGCAUGUGCUCUUCAAUUGCUAAUUGCUAUGUAUUAUUUUUUGUUUGUUUUGAAUUUUAAUUUUUUAUAUUGUUUAGUAAUAUAUAUAAGGAAUUUUUUCUUUCAUUUUUAAAUAUUUUAAUAGUUAUUAGAUCUUAACAAGGCAUUUUUAUCCAAAAAAGAAUCAUAAGUGAGGUAAUCGUUUAUGAAAUAUCUUCAAAAAUUACUUAAAAUCAUAAUGUAUGAAUUUUUAAUUUUUAUAUAUCUUAAUCACCCCUUUAUCUAUAAUAUUUUUAAAAAAAUUGUUUCAUUUUCCCCUAAAAAAAUGAUUGUUUCUUUUAAAUAUAUUUAUUUAUUUAAUAAUUUCUUUUGAAAUAUGAACUUUCUUAAAAAUAAAUCAUUUAAAUAAAAAUAUUAUCAAACACUUGAACAUAAAAUAUAUUUUGAAAUAAAAAGUAGCAUUUACCAAACAACUUUAACUUCAUUUCUAAAGCUCAUAUUUUUAACUUUAAGUUUAAAGUAGCUUCUAUGCCUCAAAAAAGUUGGGCCAAACACACCCUUAGGACCUUUGGCACCCCAUUUGCUACACAUAAUAUUUCCACUAGCUUCAGUCCAUUAGACUGAUAAUGAGACUAAUCUCUGCUUAGGUGUUUUCGGUCUUAGCUUAAAACUCGUCACCAUGAAUGUGUUUAGUAGAGAUCGAACUGCAAAGUUCCCCGACAAGCUCAGUAGUGGUUAACAAACUGAACCUCACCAAUUGAGUAUUAUAUUAGUGAACAUUUUUUAUUUAUUAAGACCUCAAAAGCUAUCCAAAAGUCCAGCCUAUAACUCUAUCACUUAAGAUGAAAAGCUUUAUUUCAAAGUUCGAUUUAUCCCUCACUCAAUUUUGUGCCAGCUCUGGUUUAGCUAUAUGACUUCAUAAGUAUAUCAGAUUCCGAACAUCUAGACAAAUACAUAAUAAGCAAUGCUAGAAAACAAAAUUAAAAGAGGGAUAGAUUUGAAUUGAAAAGCCAGAUCAUGGUCAAAUUAAGUAAGAAAAAGUAGUAAAUUAUAUACCUUUCCUUGUCCACCUCUAGCACUCCAACCACUAGGAGCUCCAUUAGACCUGUAAUGUGACCACUCACUCAAAGUGGCCUUGCCCAAUAUAAUAGCCCCAGCUUUCCUUAACUUGUUAACUACACCUGCAUCUCUUGGCACUACUGAGCCAAGCAGUGCAAAAGAGCCUGCAGUAGUGUUUAGCUUAUCCUUUGUUGCAAUGUUAUCCUUAACCAAAAUAGGUAUUCCAUGCAACCUUGAAAGAGAACCUGCUGCUUUUUCUCUUCUCUCCUUGUCAGCUCUAUCUGCUUGUGCUAGUGCAUCUGGAUUCACCUCCAAGACACCUUUGAGAACUGGGUUUUGGAUAUUGAUUUGUUUGAGGUAAAACUCAACAAGUUGUCUUGAUGUUAACUGCUUUCUUUGGAAAGCAAGUUGGAGAUCUUGCACAGUUGCUUCCUUGAUUGAGAUUCCACUUGCCAAGGUUGUUGAUAGCAUAGAAGAGAGUGUAACUAGUAGAAGGGUUAUAGAAAGGAAUUGAAAGAAAGAGCUAGCACAUGCUGAGGCCAUGACUCCACGAGUCUUGAAAGUUGAAACCACCAAGCAUCUAUAAUGGAGUAUAUAUAGAAUAUAUUUCUGAAUUAUAGUGGAUAUUAAAAAAAAUUAAAUACCAUUUCAUCGUGUUUCACAUGCCCUGCCCCAUGGCAUUAAAUUAUUAUACUACUUAUGAUUAUGAUCCACUCCUGGGCCUUCAAAUUCUUAACAAAAUGGAAAUAUCAAUAACUCCAUAUUCAAGAACUAGAAAAUCAAAGGCAAAAUAUUAAUUUAUCCUAAUUUUUUUUUUGACAUAGUCUUAAACAUUUGUUAUUAGACUAUUGAGCUAAGUCACUACAUUUUUAGUCAAUUUUGUAAGAACAUUUCAUAAAUUACCUGUGGGAUUUUGUGACAAAUUAGCUUGGCAUAUUAUAUUAGAUUUGACACUUCUACGCAGUUUUCCCAAUAGAUAUGGUAGUAUGCUAAUAUCUUAUUAUUACAAAAAUAUUGAGUAAUAAAAACAGUAGAAAGGUUGCAAAAUUAUUGGAUUAAAUAAUGAGUUAAUGAGGGUACAAUGUUAUUUGAUAUAAAAAUUGAAGAUCACCAUAACACAAAAGAGUAUACAAAAGAAUAUCUCACUUUUUUAUUUACCACAUAUAUCUUUCAACGAGCCAAUUCUUAGAGCAUCUAAAUGUAGGUAUCUCUUAUAACGAGAAUUAGUAAAAGACUCGUACAUUCUCACGUGUCUCUUAAAAUUGAACUUUUUUAUCCAUCAAUUAUGACAUUUGUGACAAUUUUGGUUCAACUGGUAUUAUUAGUCUAAAAAAAAGUGAUUUUUGAGGUCAAAAUUCAAUUUUUUUGGGGGGUAACAUCAUUAUUUUUGGGACCAAAAUUCAUGGUUAGAAACCAAAAUGACAACAAAUGUAAUGAUGGUUGAAUUGAAUUGAAUGAUGAUGUGAUAUCCGAUUUAUACUUCAGAGUACAAUGUUGAGUUUGUUUGUUUCUAAUUCUAUAAGUUUGUUGAAUUGAAUGAAUGAUGGUUUCAAAGUGAGUACAAUGAUGAUGAAUGAUUCUCAAUUCAAGACAGUGAUGGAGAUGUAUAGAUUCUCGUUUGUAUUCUCUUAACACUAGCUUUGCUGUUAUGUAAAUCUAUUUUUAGUUUGAAUUUGUAACAAAAUUCCUUUUCAUGAUAGUUUGGCAUGCUUAAGAUAAUGUGCAUAUCCAGCCCUAUUUUUUUGCUUUACUAUUGUCCAGAAAAUAUCAGGUUUUUCGAAAAAAUUAAGCCAACUGUUGGUAGACUAGUGAGUUAAGAUAACAUGAAUCCGCUCAACCUGAAAUUAUAACAAAUCUGUUGCAUUAUUUUCUAUCAAGAUUUCCACGAGUAAAACUUCUCACUAUACAUGUAGAAUCCUAAUUGUCCCGUGGAUUUUCAGACCAAUCAACAAUGUUGGUGAUUAUUACGGAACAUGUAAUGCAAGCUCUUAAGAUCAAUUUACUAGCGAAUGAGAAGAAGCAGUUAUAUUCAUGGGAAUUGGAGAGGGCGUUCAAUCAAACUUAUAACUUCCGAAAGGGAGGUGGCUUUCUGAUCAAAGUUGCUUGCUCAAAUGAAUAAGCAAUUUCAAUCAACUUUGGCUCUGACCCUUUCAAACCUCCAAAGAAAAUUCCAAAUGGCUGACCCUUUUCAUAUCCUGCUGGAACACUCAGUCCAGGAUAACCUCCAAUAGCAAGUAUAUGGCUAAAGGACCAAAUAG